rnacentral:lncRNA from 1 species
AUGAUGCGGAAUCCCCUCAGCGCCCGUAAGACCCCCCCGGAGCCGUUCCCGUGCCCAGCAGCAGGCACGAACCCCCUGACGAGACGUGGUCGCUACCCGGCGGUUCCCGCCCGCACCAAGCCCCUCCCAGUCCCGACCACACACCAACCGGGACACCCAAGUCGGCCGGGAGACACGGCUCAAAUCCCCACAGGGCGUGGGACAUUCCCCCAAACAGCCGGGACUCCUGAACGGGCCAGGCCUUCCAGGGCCUCAAGCCCCGGGCCUUCCUGGCAAGCACGCGGCCGCCGGGCCUCAUCAAAGCCCUCCGUCACCGCGGGGCCAGGACACCGCCACCGCUGCCCAAGCCCAGGCCUCCCGUCUCCGCUCGCCAUCCAGCCGCCCGCCGCAGGACCCGGACACCCGCCCCGAGCAGCCUCCCAGGCACUGCCAGCUGAGAGACGUCCCUGGCCGCCGACCUCCCCGCUCUGCCCAGGCCCCCGCGCGGCGACCUGGGCGAAGCGCUCCACGCGGCGCGGGUGGCUCGCUCUGCCGGGCAGACCACCCCCUCCAGGGCGUCCAAGGGCUCGGCAUCGCACCCUCCAGGGAGAGGGAGACCGUGCACCGGGAAGGACUCCGACCCGUGGCCUCCCAAAGGACCCCCCCAAGGUGCGGUCCGCGCCGCGGCCCAGGGACCUGGCGGCUGCCUUCCCCAGACCCCCACGGGGAGCCACGCCUCCCAGAGGAGAGGCCACAUGCAAGACCGUCCCCGCCCCUGCCCGCGCGGUCCUUGCCUACCCGGGCCUCCCACAGCCGCUGACGCCAUCCCACUUGAGGCCAGGGCACCUCCUCCAGAGCCCCUCGCCCAUCCAGACGUGGGCCUGUCCACCCACGUCCCCGGCAGGCUCCCUCUGCCCGCCUGUCGCUCACCACUUCAGCUGCCCCCUUCUCGCCACCCAGCCCCAGCCUCCGCCCCAACAUCCCUGGACGUCCCAGGGGAGCGCCCUCAGGGGUUCCCAGGCUGCCCCCCUCCCAUGGGGGACGGCCCUGAUCCAAGGGCCCCCGCUACCACAGACCCCCUGCAGCAGGUGGCCCUCAGGGGUCCCCAGAGCAGAAAGAGAACACUACCCUGCCGGGAUCCCGUCUCCCCACAGCAUCCUGAGAAGGGCGCCCGGCCUGGGCCAGGACGCCCCCUGGGGCCCUAGGGCCGCACACUUGCCUCGCGGGCCGGGCCCAAAUUUCGGCCCCCGCGACGGCUUGCGAAACCCCCCAAGGCCGGCGGGAGGCCGCCCGGGAUCUCCAGCACGCUCGGGCACGCGGCCUCGCCCCCGAGGCCAGCGCCGGGCGACGGGCCCCAUGCUUCCUGGGCCCGGCAGGCGGCCGCCUUCCCCAGACCUCACCCGAGUGGCUGCUGACACACAGAGGCCCCAAGGCCAAGGGCCCAUCUACCCCCGAGCCCCCGGUGGCCGCCACGUGCCGGACCUCAGUUUCGAUGAGGAGACGGUAGUGAGUUCUCACUCAUUUUGUUCAGAUUUCCAAGGAAUGCUUUAG